CAAAUUAUUCUUUAAGUUGAGAUUUUCAUUUACAUUGAAAAUGGUGUCGUGCAAUUCGAUAUAGUUUGA
rnacentral:tRNA from 1 species